GUCUCCCAUUUUGUGGCCAGAUUAACACUCUGUGUAACCUGAAUGCCUUCUCACUGAAAAGGCAUGAACUGGCACCACUGCAGCCCUGGGCUUCAUCUCUCCCAGUGACGCCAUAGUGAAUCACUGUGAGGCUAGCUACAGACUCGGUGGGGGCAUUCCAGGGGCCGUUAUUACCGUUAAUCAAUUAGGAAGAGUUAAGAAUUUCUGAAUAUAUGCCAAAUGCAGUGCUGGUCAUUUUUUUGACAUCAGUAGGACAUACUUGAGAUAAAUUUGACAUCUGUCAAUAAAUUAGUAUUUCACCAAGCAAACUACUUAGAAAAAAAUUGGAAAUUUACGGACAUUGAAAUGCACUUUAGAAAUCCAGAAACUUUAUAAAGGAGAACUCCUUAAUACUAGUCUAUUUAAGUUAUAUUUUAUUAUGAGUAUUUAUUUAUUGAGCAAUGACUACAUCACAUAUGUUGUAUACAAGAUAGGGCAGAAUUAAUUUAACUGUAUAGAACAAACUAAAUUUGUAUUAUCCAAAGAAAAUCUACAACUUGAAGUAAUUACUUUUGUUGGAGACAGAUUCUUUAUUGUGAAAAUAAUUAAACAAACAAACAAACACCAUCAGAGAAUGUGAGUUAACAGUCAGGAAACUGGGAGAAAUGGAGAAUGCAUUUUAAAAGUCCCACCUUCCCACAUUUCAUGUAAUGGCUAAUUAAACAUAUGGAAUACAUUAUCUGAACCACAAAUUAAUGUGUUUGGAUAGGGUAGGAGCAAACAAAUGAAAAUGAAGGAAAGCUAUGCAAUUGGAAUCCAGGCAUGAUGUGGACAAGCUCUGCUGGGCACCAGCAUUUGGUUCAUGUUUGAAAAAAUUACAUUAGAACACUUAAAAGCAACAUCUUGCUUAGAGGAUUCUCCUUUUCAAGAGAAAAAUUGAAGUUGGCAAAGCUCGGAUAACAAUAUAUACUAGUAUUAUUGAUGGCCAAAAAUAAGAGGAAAGGAAAUUACACCACUGAUUUAUUCCAAUACAUUUAAACUUUCUGGACAGUUUCCACAUGUUAAAAAGGACAUUGGUGAGCAUCUACAGAUUGAAGAUUUUACCAUCCAAAACCCACAAAGAGAAAACUCCUACUGUGGUCUUCAGAAUUUCCAUUCAGCUGAUUUGCCUGCCAAGUCCAGUGACCAGUACCGCCGCUCCUGAUGGUGGGGAGCAUAUGGUACUGCUGUGAAUAGUUUUGCUCUCACUGCUGUGAAAUCCCACGCCUUCCUACAGAAUGUGUUUGGAGGAGCAAAUGGUAAGUGUCGCUAUUCAGCAUAGCUCUGUCUCUGCCUAUGGAACCCAGUCUUUUAAACAACAAAAUGAAGAUAACUGCAAGUCUUCACAGGCCCUGGUUUAGUGUUAGGCUUCAGGGUUAAUGGUCACCUGUUAACUGUUUCUUCUUCCCAGGAGAGAGGAUUAUCUUUUACACAUCCUGGAUUUACCAGGAUGCAUAAUGGUAAACCAACCAUCCAUCAUUUUUGUUUGUUUGUUUCAAUCCUCCUCUUCCUCUUUCUUCUCCUCCUUCUAAAAAAAUCAUCUUAAAGUGGGACACAAUUUCUAAGUUAAAUUGGGGCUCUGAAAAGAGCACUAGACUUGGAGUUAGGAAGUCUGGAAUAUCAAACACUAACUAGCCUUGUAACCUUGGGCAAAUUUAUUCUGUGCCUCUUCUGUGAAACAGAUGGUGCAGGCCCUGAACGUCCCUUCCAGUUCCAAGAUUAUAUGUGUUUGUGUAGUCCAACUCCACCCCACUCCCAACCUCAUCUCCCAGAAAGUCUUUCUCUACCAUUCAAAAUAAAUUGUUAUUUUUCAUUUUAUAAUGCAGCUUUCAAGAACUUAUGGGGUGGCUUGCUUCUGGGUUUGUUCAUCUCCACUGUCAAGUGGUUCUUCUGUAUGUUUAGCAAAACCCUGUCCCACUGUGGUGUAAGGCUGUUUUUUUUUUUCCUCCUCUGGUUUUUGUGAAAACAGAGAACAAUCCUUUGGAAUUUGCUUAUAGUAAUAGUUUUUCUUGUUUGUACUGUUACUUAAGUUGCUCUUUUAUGUUGUGGCCCUUAAAUGUGUCUUCUAAUAUUCUUAUUGUCUCUUCUCCCCUGUUUUGCCAACGCAUACAUGUGCUGGCUGAGAGGCUAGGGUGGGGCCAUUUGGGGGCCUAAGUUUGAUAUAAUGUGUGCCACAUCGGCUGGUGUGCAACUGAAGGGAGGAGGGAGCAGGCGUUCCUCUGCUGCUGAAGAGGGCUGUGGAAACUUAAGUCAUAGACAUGCUUCAGUGAGAGGAUGAGGAUUUGCCCAGAUGGGAAGCUUCAAGUGCAGAGGCACUUGUACAUCUACUUAUCUUGAGUCUCAAUGAUGCUGUUUAUGAGUGAGCUAUUCAAAUGGAGGAAGAAACCCACGGAGAAGGAGAAAUAACAGGUCGGAGUGAUUAUGUACAGAAGGAUAGGCUCUAGCAGGAGUCCAGUGGGAAAGAAGGAAGGGAAUACAAUUAAGAAUUAUUAAUGGCAGAUCUCUAAUGAUUUCACUGGAUCCAAAGGAACAGGGCAAUACUGAGUAAGAAACACUUGAUAUACGAAAAAAGCGUGAGUGCGAAGGAAAAUACAUCAUUCUACAGAUGUUGACGGACUCUGACGGUGGGAAAGCGUCCCUCAAGAUUGAAUUGGAGUAGAAGCUGACCCUCCCACUUGCCCAGAGAUCCCCUAGCUGGAUACGAUUUCAGCAAUAGAACACUUGAUCAUCACAGUGCUUGGCAUAUACUUUCCUGAUCAAUUUCAUCACACAAGCUGGCAGCUAUGGGCAGUGAGGGAAGGAAGGGGCAAUCUCCUCACUAGACAGCCGUGCCAAGGUCACCCUGGUCCAUCCAUGAG
rnacentral:lncRNA from 1 species